rnacentral:rRNA from 1 species
AAUUCGAUUAGAGUUUGAUCCUGGCUCAGAUUGAUUGCUGGCGGCAGGCUUAACACAUGCAAGUCGAGCGGUAGCACAGGGGAGCUUGCUCCCCGGGUGACGAGCGGCGGACGGGUGAGUAAUGUCUGGGAAACUGCCUGAUGGAGGGGGAUAACUACUGGAAACGGUAGCUAAUACCGCAUAACGUCGCAAGACCAAAGAGGGGGACCUUCGGGCCUCUUGCCAUCAGAUGUGCCCAGAUGGGAUUAGCUAGUAGGUGGGGUAAUGGCUCACCUAGGCGACGAUCCCUAGCGGGUCUGAGACGAUGACCAGCCACACGGUGACUGAGACACGAUCCAGGCUCCUACGUGAGUCGGCGGUGUGUGAUAUGGUACACUGUGCGGAAGGCGAGUGCAUUAAUGGACGUGUGUGUCGGGAGUGAGUUCGGUCAUUGGUAUGGCGCUGAUCUGGUGCGGCGGCGGGGUCGUGAGGUCGGGAGGGUUGGGACGAUGCCCGUAGGGGAAGAGAGGGUAGCGGUUAGCCAGGGGAUGGUCGUCGGGGUUGGUAGUAGGGGGUACAUGGGUGUCGGAAGUUGUGCGCCUUCGGGAUGUCCAUUGGGACUCCGGCCUGAGGAGGAAGAGUGCGGGUCCGAAGUGACGAGCUGGGGAAAGUGUGGCUCGGGGUGUGCAGGGGAGUGCUGUAUUGGAUGGCCCGGGUGUAGCCGUGCGCACGGUUUAGGGUGCUGAGUUGUGAGUGCGGCCGCACUGAGCGACACGACCGCGAGGUGCGUCGGAGGUGGGGCUCGCUUUUGGGCGGGGGGG